UCAUUUUGAAUUGCAAUAUGAAAAGUGAAUCAGCUUUACAGAUUGUUCUUCUGGGAUCCAUAAAUAUAUACAAGCAAAUAAAUGGGAAAGCGAGGAAUGGCCACCGGAACCUACUCAAGCAAACCUUUCAGAAUUCAUAUUCAAUGAAUCCAGAUCUCAAGAAGUCAACCUAUGGAACUAGGCUGUGUCUUAGCAAUUUUCCUGUGCAGAACCUUCUAAUUCCAUCUCUUUCAGGACCACCAGUUCUUCUCUUAACCAUUUAACGAAGUGUGAAAACGAGGAAGAUUUAUCAGAGUAAAGCAGCAUAAAGGAAAGAAGCCACAGCUAUGUUAUCGAAUAGGACUGAAAGCAUGGAGGGGUAAUUCAAGAUAUGCGAAAUGGGGCAGAGAAAGGACUUUCUGGAAGCAAUAGAAGAACACCAGCAAAGAUGACUAAGGGGCACCAGUGGAUGGUGUGUUGGGGCUGUGCCACUCACCUGACCUUUGUUUGGCUGAGUCACUACAGCAUACUGGGAUGGAGGGGGGAGGUGUGGCAGUGAGGUCCGGGGAGUGCAAACAUGCCAGUUGUAGCAUCAGAUUUGCUUCACCAACACAUCUGUACCACACUGACCUUUCCAGCACUACACCUCUUACCUCUCAAUGGAAGUCAGGUGAGCAGAGCAGCCCCAGCAUGCUGUCCACUCUACUAAGCAAUGCUAUCAACACUGUAGGUUGGACCUGAACUAAAUUAGUUUCACUUAGGUCACACUGAAAUCUAGGAGUCAUAUUUGUCCCAUUGGCUUCAAUGGUAAAUGUAUUCUGGAUUCACA